GUUGGCACAGACCGGCCGGGGGCUGGAGGAACUCCGGGCCGAGGGCAUGGUGACCACCAGGGGUGGACUUAGUCUGCGGUUCUUGUUCUGUGGAUUUGUUGUUUAUAUUACUUUGAUUUUAUAACCAAUUUUAUGGCUAAUGUGGAGUUUGAAACUUCCAAAUUCGUGCUGGUUCUCAACGACCUUAGCUUCCUGGUUUCCAGUGAUCAGACUUUAGACUUGUACAAUACUGUCCUAUAUCUUGAAGUUGUCUGCAGCUCUCAAAAUCGACUAUUAAGAGACAUUGAGCUUUACGGCAUCAAAAUGAGACCAUACCCACAUCAUGAAGAUCCUGCCAUGUGGACCCUGGCGAGACUUGUUCUGGAGCUGGGCUAGGCCACGCUUAGAUCUCCUCCAGUUCCCCUACCAGCCCCGA